rnacentral:tRNA from 1 species
GCAUAGAUAGUGUAAUGGCAGCACAAUAGUCUCCAAAACUAUUUGUAGAGGUUCGAAUCCUUUUCUAUGUG